rnacentral:rRNA from 1 species
CCUACGGGUGGCAGCAGUGAGGAAUAUUGGUCAAUGGACGAGAGUCUGAACCAGCCAAGUAGCGUGAAGGAUGACUGCCCUAUGGGUUGUAAACUUCUUUUAUAUGGGAAUAAAAUGUUCCACGUGUGGGAUUUUGUAUGUACCAUAUGAAUAAGGAUCGGCUAACUCCGUGCCAGCAGCCGCGGUAAUACGGAGGAUCCGAGCGUUAUCCGGAUUUAUUGGGUUUAAAGGGAGCGUAGGUGGAUUGUUAAGUCAGUUGUGAAAGUUUGCGGCUCAACCGGAAAAUUGCAGUUGAAACUGGCAGUCUUGAGUACAGUAGAGGUGGGCGGAAUUCGUGGUGUAGCGGUGAAAUGCUUAGAUAUCACGAAGAACUCCGAUUGCGAAGGCAGUUCACUGGACUGCAACUGACACUGAGGCUCGAAAGUGUGGGUAUCAAACAGGAUGAGAUACCCGGGUAGUC